ACCAUGGCCUGGACCCCACUCCUCUUCCUCAGCCUCCUCCUUCACUGCACAGGGUCCCUCUCCCAGCCUGUGCUGACUCAGCCACCCUCUGCAUCUGCUUCCCUGGGAGCCUCAGUCAAGCUCACCUGCACCCUGAGCAGUGAGCUCAGUGACUACACCAUUGGAUGGCACCAGCAGCAGCCAGGGAAGGCCCCUCGGUACCUGAUGUAUGUUAACACUUAUGGAAGCUCCAGCAAUGGGGACGGGAUCCCUGACCGCUUUUCAGGCUCUGGCUCUGGGGCUGACCGCUACUUAACCAUCUCCAACCUCCAGUCUGAGGAUGAGGCUGAUUAUUACUGUCAGUCCUAUGACAGCAAUGGUGUAAGGAGAUGGCUCUGGGUCUCCUCACAAUUACCUUCCCGAAGUUCACUCCCAGGAACCUGA